ACAUAAAGUCCUGUUUUCUUACAAUCAUGUCAACGUCAUUGUUAGCAGUUGUAUUUGGGACUUUUCUCCCUUAAAAAGCAUGAGUGUUUUCCUCAAUGUAAACUUUUUCACACUGCUUUAGCACUGUCCUUUCAAAAUAAAAAACACUGUUACACUGAGAAUGUAGGAAUAACAAUAGGUUGCAAAAUAAUGAAGAAAAGGUCUUUCCAGGUUUCAGAGCAACACUUGGGAUUGUGACACAUUUUAUCGUUGGUGUUGUUAUGUUUCAUACCUUUUGUAACAUUGGCUGCUGUAGGCUUAAACAACCUGAUGUGUAGAACAUCAGAAUGUACUGUGCUGUAUGUCAUCCAAGAAAUCUUUGAAGAUAUUGUUAGCAAAAAAGCAUAUGAUUCAUUGAAGAGAAACAAACCAAACCAAACCACUAAAAAUACAGGAAAAAUAAAAUGUUCAUUCACUUCACUAGGAGUUAGGUCAGAAUAAGAAAUAUAUAUAUGGGCCUGCAUUUAUUCUGGUGAAUGAAUUCAUCAUAAAAUAGGUAUGCUAUGAACAUAUUUGCUUUCAGGUGCCCUGAUAAGGACACAUAUAGAGACAUACAUUGUAUCUUUUCCUAUUUAACAGUAUGUAAAUCAUGCUUCUUACAAUAUAUGUUUUAAUUUGGUUCCAGGAACUUCUCUGCAGAUAAAAAAAGUUGCUGAUGUUCAGAUAAGGUGCACAACACUUAAUCUUUUUAAUGUGAACAGAAAAUAAAAGAUAUUUAAAGUUUG